rnacentral:rRNA from 1 species
UACGUAGGGGGCAAGCGUUGUCCGGAAUUAUUGGGCGUAAAGAGCGUGUAGGCGGUCCGGUAAGUCGGCUGUGAAAGUCCAGGGCUCAACCCUGGGAUGCCGGUCGAUACUGCCGGACUAGAGUUCGGAAGAGGCGAGUGGAAUUCCCGAUGUAGCGGUGAAAUGCGCAGAUAUCAGGAGGAACACCGAUGGCGAAGGCAGCUCGCUGGGACGGUAUUGACGCUGAGACGCGAAAGCGUGGGGAGCAAACAGG